GAUGAAGAACGUAGCGAAAUGCGAUAAGUAGUGUGAAUUGCAGAAUUCAGUGAAUCAUCGAAUCUUUGAACGCACAUUGCGCCCCAUGGUAUUCCGUGGGGCAUGCCUGUUCGAGCGUCAUUUACCCCCUCAAGCUCCGCUUGGUGUUGGGCGUCUGUCCCGCUUCGCGCGCGGACUCGCCCCAAAGGUAUUGGCAGCGGUCGUGCCAGCUUCUCGCGCAGCACAUUGCGCUUCCCGAGGCACCGGUGGGCCCGCGUCCAUCAAGCUCACCCCCCCAGUUUGACCUCGGAUCAGGUAGGGAUACCCGCUGAACUUAAGCAUAUCAAUAAGCGGAGGA
rnacentral:misc_RNA from 1 species